UGGCAGCUUCCUACUCUAUCUCGAUGUAAACAACAGACAGACAUCAUCAUCCUAUACCAGCUUCCUACUCUAUCUGGAUGUAAACAACAGACGGACAGACAGACAGAUAUCAUCACCCUAUACCAGCUUCCUACUCUAUCUGGAUGUAAACAACAGACAGCCAUCAUCAUCCUAUACCAGCUUCCUACUCUAUCUGGAUGUAAACAACAGACAGACAUCCUCAUCCUAUACCAGCUUCCUACUCUAUCUGGAUGUAAACAACAGACAGACAGACAGAUAUCAUCACCCUGUACCAGCUUCCUACUCUAUCUGGAUGUAAACAACAGACAGACAUCAUCAUCCUAUACCAGGGGCCUGUUGCACAAAAGUAGAAUUAAGACAUCCGGGAUAAAUGACUCAGCUGAGCUCAAUGAAGCCAAAACAUGUGCGUCCAGGCUUAAUUGGUUGCACAAAGACCAAGCCAGGAUGAGCAGACACGGAUUCAUUAAGCCAGGUGAAACCAAUCCUGGAUAGGUGCGCGCUCACGGCUCACUCAAAUAGACCCCGCCACAGAUCACAGAUUAACUGAUUUACCAUGGCAACUAGAGCCGCGUACUUUUCCCCGUCGGAAGCACAAAUCCUCAUGGAGGCAUACGAGGAGGUAAAAUAUAUAAUUAAGAAGAAAGGCAACACCGCCACAGUGAUAAAGCAAAGAGAAAAAGCGUGGCAAAGUAUUGCAGACCGCCUGAAUGCAUUAAACAUGAACGGGCCAAAACGGACAUGGCAGCAGGUCAAAAUCAAAUACAAGAACAUUCUGCAGAAUGCAGUGAAAAAGAAUACCCACAGACAAGGCACGGGUGGUGGGUCACCAAAGGCUGACCUUACCCCAGCAGAGGACAUGGCCUUGGAGCUAAAUAAAGGCAGGCCCGUCUUAGAGGGGAUCCCUGGGGGAAAGAGACGAGCAUAGGUUCCUCCCAAGAUGCCACCCGCUUCAUUCAAGUGCCUGGCAGCACUGUGUUCCUGUUAGAGCCACCAGCACAAGCACCAGACGAUGCUGAUCCAGGUGAAGGCCCCAGUGCAGCAGCAACAGCACAUGAUGGAGACGAUGAUGAGGAGGAGACCAUCUCUCUGGAUUCCAGAAGGCAUGAGGACCCAGAUGCUAUACAGUGGGAAAACCAGCCUGGCAACAUAGUGCGUAUUAAUAAAAGGACACCACAUCCUGCCAAAUUCCAGCUGCGCUAAUUGUAUUGUAUUCACAGAGCUCACAAGCUAUCAGAAAGUUGUAUGGCAACCACCUCCGGCGCCAAAUAGAACUGGCAGACAUAGACAUUCAGUACAAGAAGAAAAAGAUGGAAAAUCUUGCACUGGAGUCCGAAAUAAAAAAAAAGAGGACAAUUAGGAAACUGGACCUUGAAAUAAAAAAACUUGAGAGGGAGGUGAGAUAUGCCUUCAAUGUACACUGUAUGCUAACUGUAACACAAAUGUAUUAAUCAUUAUUUUUCUUUCCUCCCCGGCUCCAAGAAGAUGACACAGCUCAAAAUAAAAAUUAGGUAUAUUCUCGUAAAGUCAAGUGAGCCAUGACAUAUGAGCUCUUAUUGUGAGCACACAGGACGGUGGCAUCUUUCUAAGGUUUUUUUAUUUUCCCAGCAAUCAGUACAACCAAGUCAUCGUUAUAAGGCAUCGCCCUCUUUUGCCCACCCCCAGCACCAGGUGUGGCCACUAGCCUAUAUGAAGGCCCAAAAUUGUGUGUUCCUUUCUGCUCUGACAAUGGCAUGCCCAUUCGUGCGAGAUGUGGUGGAUGAAGAAGCACUUGUGCUGAGGAGAGCCUUCAGGCGAGAAAGGGUCUUCAGGGACCGGUUGGACCCACUGGCCUUCCCUGAUGACCAUCUAUAUGAAAGAUACAGGUUUUCUGCAGAUGGCAUCAGGUAUCUAUGCAGACUACUGGGUCCCAGGAUUAAGCACCGCACUGCACGGAGCCAUGCACUGAGUGUGGAGCAAAUGGUUUGUGUGGCCUUGCGCUUUUUGCUAGUGGAGCCUUCCUGUACUCAGUGGGGGAUGCAGAACAGCUGAACAAGGCCACAAUUUGCCGCACAAUAAGGAGUGUGUGUCUGGCUAUCAAAGCAUUAGCAGAUGUCUUCAUCUCCUUCCCUGGCCACAGAAGACUCUGUGACAUCAAAGAGGAGUUCUAUAGGAUUGCAGGUAAGAGGAUCUACAAAUUACAGGACAACUGUUAACACAUAGUAGGAUACUCAUUACUUUGUGUGACAGGUUUCCCCAAUGUCAUUGGUGCAGUGGACUGCACACACAUAAGGAUAAAAGCCCCCUCAGGUGCCCAUGAGGCCGAUUUUGUGAAUAGGAAAUCCUUUCACAGCAUUAAUGUUCAGAUGGUCUGCAAUGCUGACUGUGUGAUCAGCAAUGUUGUGGCAAAAUGGCCUGGCUCAGUCCAUGACUCCAGAAUCUUUCGGGCCUCUGAAAUCUAUCAGUGCCUAUCACAAGGUGAAUUCUCUGGUGUGUUGCUGGGAGACAGGGGUAUGGCUGCCAGCCUUUUCUCCUGACACCUUUCACAGACCCCCAGGAAGCACAGCAGGCCUACAACCAUGCCCAUGCCAGGACCAGGGCCAGAGUUGAAAUGACCUUUGGCCUCCUGAAGGCACGCUUUCACUGCCUUCACAAAUUAAGGGUCAGCCCUGUUAGGGCAUGUGAUAUUACUGUGGCUUGUGCUGUCCUCCACAAUGUGGCCUGCCUGAGGAAGGAGAGGGCCCCCAGAGUGCCACCAGCCAUGGACUGGGACAAUCCGGCAAUCUUCCCUGAUGACGACAGUGGUCGGCUGCUGAGGGACCAAUAUGUGUUGAAUUAUUUUAGUUAGUAUGUGUGCUUUCAAUUUUGGUUAAAUAUGUCCUGCAGUGGCAGAGGAAUUUGGGUUUUUUUGGGUUCGUUUUUUGACGAAUUUGGCCUCUUAUGAUGUUUGUGCGGUAUACUGUGUGUAAUACAAGGCUGCAGGGAGGCUACUGCAUCCAUUCAUUUGUCUGUUCAGUUGAUGUGUAUGGAUUUGUCCUGCAUUUAUUUUAGUGUGCAGACAUGCAGGGUGUGUUAUAUACAGACCUUUGAAUGUGUCAUGUAUCAUUUUGUAUAAUAUGCUUGGAUUCUGUGCUUUCCAUCUUGUAGAGUCACUGUGACUUCAGUUUCGAAAGGAGCUGAUGGUUUACCUGCUUUGUUUUGUCCUUAUUCAAUAAAGGAACAUAAUGUUACACAUUGUGUUUUUAUAUUCA